GUGGCUCUGGACUGGCUUGCUCUUGGAUCACCGAAGCCUCCUGGGUCUGGGUUUGGCUUCUCCGACUGUGGGGCCCUCAGCAGGAGGGGCAGGCAGGCAGGCUUAGCCUUUGUGAAGCUGGAUUUGGGAGCCAGAGGUGUGAACGUUGGCCAUCCUCCCCUCUGCUGGAUGCACCCGCGGCCUGGGAAGAUAAUUUAGGAAAGAGAAUGCUGCUAUUGUGAAACCCCUGAGUGUCUAUCUGGCCCUCCAGAGCUCUUGGGAGCAUCGGCUAUCCUCACCCUUUCUCCAAGUGGGAGCUGGGCUCUUCCUUUCCGGAGAUACUCUGGAUACUCCUUCACUUUGCUGGAUGACCUUGGGCAAGUUCCUGUCCCUCUCUGAGCCUUCACUUCCUCAUCUGUCAAAUGAAG
ensembl:lncRNA novel transcript